UACGUAGGGGGCAAGCGUUGUCCGGAAUCAUUGGGCGUAAAGAGCGCGUAGGCGGCCCGAUAAGUCCGCUGUGAAAGUCAAGGGCUCGACCCUUGAAUGCCGGUGGAUACUGUCGGGCUAGAGUCCGGAAGAGGCGAGUGGAAUUCCUGGUGUAGCGGUGAAAUGCGUAGAUAUCAGGAGGAACACCUGUGGCGAAAGCGGCGCACUGGACCACAACUGACGCUGAGGCGCGAAAGCUAGGGGAGCAAACAGG
rnacentral:rRNA from 1 species